ensembl:lncRNA
CACCAGGCACACAGACAGUUAGUUAGUUCUCUCACCUCUGCACACAGACAGUUAGUUAGUUCCCUCACCUCUGUACACCAGGCACACAGACAGUUAGUUAGUUCUCUCACCUCUGUACACCAGGCACACAGACAGUUAGUUAGUUCUCUCACCUCUGUACACAGACAGUUAGUUAGUUCUCUCACCUCUGUACACAGACAGUUAGUUAGUUCUCUCACCUCUGCACACAGACAGUUAGUUAGUUCCCUCACCUCUGUACACCAGUCAUACAGACAGUUAGUUAGUUCUCUCACCUCUGCACACCAGGCACACAGACAGUUAGUUAGUUCUCUCACCUCUGUACACCAGGCACACAGACAGUUAGUUAGUUCCCUCACCGUGCACACAGACAGUUAGUUAGUUCCCUCACCGUGCACACAGACAGUUAGUUAGUUCCCUCACCGUGCACACAGACAGUUAGUUAUUUCCCUCACCGUGCACACAGACAGUUAGUUAGUUCUCUCACCGUGCACACAGACAGUUAGUUAGUUCUCUCACCUCUGUACACAGAAAGUUAGUUAGUUCUCUCACCCUCUGGACACAGACAGUUAGUUAGUUCUCUCACCGUGCACACAGACAGUUAGUUAGUUCCCUCACCGUGCACACAGACAGUUAGUUAGUUCCCUCACCGUGCACACAGACAGUUAGUUAGUUCUCUCACCGUGCACACAGACAGUUAGUUAGUUCUCUCACCAGGCACACAGACAGUUAGUUAGUUCUCUCACCAGGCACACAGACAGUUAGUUAGUUCCCUCACCUCUGCACACAGACAGUUAGUUAGUUCUCUCACCGUGCACACAGACAGUUAGUUAGUUCUCUCACCAGGCACACAGACAGUUAGUUAGUUCUCUCACCGUGCACACAGACAGUUAGUUAGUUCCCUCACCUCUGCACACAGACAGUUAGUUAGUUCUCUCACCGUGCACACAGACAGUUAGUUAUUCUCUCACCUCUGACACAGGCACACAGACAGUUAGUUAGUUCUCUCACCAGGCACACAGACAGUUAGUUAGUUCUCUCACCGUGCACACAGACAGUUAGUUAGUUCUCUCACCUCUGGACACAGACAGUUAGUUAGUUCCCUCACCGUGCACACAGACAGUUAGUUAGUUCUCUCACCGUGCACACAGACAGUUAGUUAGUUUCUCUCACCUCUGUACACAGAAAGUUAGUUAGUUCUCUCACCUCUGUACACAGACAGUUAGUUAGUUCUCUCACCUCUGUACACAGACAGUUAGUUAGUUGUCUCACCUCUGGACACAGACAGUUAGUUAGUUCUCUCACCGUGCACACAGACAGUUAGUUAGUUCCCUCACCGUGCACACAGACAGUUAGUUAGUUCCUCACCGUGCACACAGACAGUUAGUUAGUUCCCUCACCGUGCACACAGACAGUUAGUUAGUUCCCUCACCGUGCACACAGACAGUUAGUUAUUUCCUCACCCGUGCACACAGACAGUUAGUUAGUUCCCUCACCUCUGUACACCAGGCACACAGACAGUUAGUUAGUUCUCUCACCUCUGUACACCAGGCACACAGACAGUUAGUUAGUUCUCUCACCUCUGUACACAGACAGUUAGUUAGUUCUCUCACCUCUGUACACAGACAGUUAGUUAGUUCUCUCACCUCUGUACACCAGGCACACAGACAGUUAGUUAGUUCUCUCACCUCUGUACACCAGGCACACAGACAGUUAGUUAGUUCCCUCACCUCUGUAACACCAGUCAUACAGACAGUUAGUUAGUUCUCUCACCUCUGCACACCAGGCACACAGACAGUUAGUUAGUUCUCUCACCUCUGUACACCAGGCACACAGACAGUUAGUUAGUUCCCUCACCGUGCACACAGACAGUUAGUUAGUUCCCUCACCGUGCACACAGACAGUUAGUUAGUUCCCUCACCGUGCACACAGACAGUUAGUUAUUUCCCCUCACCGUGCACACAGACAGUUAGUUAGUUCUCUCACCGUGCACACAGACAGUUAGUUAGUUCUCACCUCUGUACACAGAAAGUUAGUUAGUUCUCUCACCUCUGGACACAGACAGUUAGUUAGUUCUCUCACCGUGCACACAGACAGUUAGUUAGUUCCCUCACCGUGCACACAGACAGUUAGUUAGUUCCCUCACCGUGCACACAGACAGUUAGUUAGUUCUCUCACCGUGCACACAGACAGUUAGUUAGUUCUCUCACCAGGCACACAGACAGUUAGUUAGUUCUCCUCACCAGGCACACAGACAGUUAGUUAGUUCCCUCACCUCUGCACACAGACAGUUAGUUAGUUCUCUCACCGUGCACACAGACAGUUAGUUAGUUCUCUCACCAGGCACACAGACAGUUAGUUAGUUCUCUCACCGUGCC